GACGAACGCUGGCGGCGUGCUUAACACAUGCAAGUCGAACGGAAAGGCCCUGCUUGCAGGGUACUCGAGUGGCGAACGGGUGAGUAACACGUGGGUGCUCUGCCCUGCACUUCGGGAUAAGCCUGGGAAACUGGGUCUAAUACCGGAUAGGAGCCAUUUUUAGUGUGAUGGUUGGAAAGUUUUUUCGGUGUAGGAUGAGCUCGCGGCCUAUCAGCUUGUUGGUGGGGUAAUGGCCUACCAAGGCGGCGACGGGUAGCCGGCCUGAGAGGGUGGAAGGCCACAUUGGGACUGAGGGAAGGCCCAGACGCCGACGGGAGGCAGCAGUGGGGAAGAUUGAACAAGGGGCGCAGGCCGGAUGCAGCGGCGCCGCGUGGGGGAUGACGGCCUUCGGGUUGUAAAAUCCUUUCGCUAGGGACGAAGCUUUUUGUGACGGUACCUAGAUAAGAAGCACCGGCUAACUACGUG
rnacentral:rRNA from 1 species